rnacentral:rRNA from 1 species
GACGAACGCUGGCGGCGUGCUUAACACAUGCAAGUCGAACGGAAAGGCCCUGCUUUUGUGGGGUGCUCGAGUGGCGAACGGGUGAGUAACACGUGAGUAACCUGCCCUUGACUUUGGGAUAACUUCAGGAAACUGGGGCUAAUACCGGAUAGGAGCUCCUGCUGCAUGGUGGGGGUUGGAAAGUUUCGGCGGUUGGGGAUGGACUCGCGGCUUAUCAGCUUGUUGGUGGGGUAGUGGCUUACCAAGGCUUUGACGGGUAGCCGGCCUGAGAGGGUGACCGGCCACAUUGGGACUGAGAUACGGCCUAGACGCCUACGGGAGGCAGCAGUGGGGAAUAUUGCACAAUGGGCGGAAGCCGGAUGCAGCAACGCCGCGUGCGGGAUGACGGCCUUCGGGUUGUAAACCGCUUUCGCCUGUGACGAAGCGUGAGUGACGGUAAUGGGUAAAGAAGCACCGGCUAACUACGUG